GCAUGCGCAGCUACACAUGCAGUCGAGCGAGCUCUUCGGAGCUAGCGGCGGACGGGUUAGUAACGCGUGGGAACGUGCCCUUCACUGCGGAAUAGCCACUGGAAACGGUGAGUAAUACCGCAUACGCCCUUCGGGGGAAAGAUUUAUCGGUGAAGGAUCGGCCCGCGUUAGAUUAGAUAGUUGGUGGGGUAACGGCCUACCAAGUCUACGAUCUAUAGCUGGUUUUAGAGGAUGAUCAGCAACACUGGGACUGAGACACGGCCCAGACUCCUACGGGAGGCAGCAGUGGGGAAUCUUGGACAAUGGGCGCAAGCCUGAUCCAGCCAUGCCGCGUGAGUGAUGAAGGCCUUAGGGUCGUAAAGCUCUUUCGCCAGAGAUGAUAAUGACAGUAUCUGGUAAAGAAACCCCGGCUAACUCCGUGCCAGCAGCCGCGGUAAUACGGAGGGGGUUAGCGUUGUUCGGAAUUACUGGGCGUAAAGCGCACGUAGGCGGAUCAGAAAGUUGGGGGUGAAAUCCCGGGGCUCAACCCCGGAACUGCCUCCAAAACUCCUGGUCUUGAGUUCGAGAGAGGUGAGUGGAAUUCCGAGUGUAGAGGUGAAAUUCGUAGAUAUUCGGAGGAACACCAGUGGCGAAGGCGGCUCACUGGCUCGAUACUGACGCUGAGGUGCGAAAGUGUGGGGAGCAAACAGGAUUAGAUACCCUGGUAGUC
rnacentral:rRNA from 1 species